UAGGGAAUCUUCGGCAAUGGACGGAAGUCUGACCGAGCAACGCCGCGUGAGUGAAGAAGGUUUUCGGAUCGUAAAGCUCUGUUGUAAGAGAAGAACGAGUGUGAGAGUGGAAAGUUCACACUGUGACGGUAUCUUACCAGAAAGGGACGGCUAACUACGUGCCAGCAGCCGCGGUAAUACGUAGGUCCCGAGCGUUAUCCGGAUUUAUUGGGCGUAAAGCGAGCGCAGGCGGUUAGAUAAGUCUGAGGUUAAAGGCUGUGGCUUAACCAUAGUACGCUUUGGAAACUGUUUAACUUGAGUGCAAGAGGGGAGAGUGGAAUUCCAUGUGUAGCGGUGAAAUGCGUAGAUAUAUGGAGGAACACCGGUGGCGAAAGCGGCUCUCUGGCUUGUAACUGACGCUGAGGCUCGAAAGCGUGGGGAGCAAACAGGAUUAGAUACCCUGGUAGUCCACGCCGUAAACGAUGAGUGCUAGGUGUUAGACCCUUUCCGGGGUUUAGUGCCGUAGCUAACGCAUUAAGCACUCCGCCUGGGGAGUACGACCGCAAGGUUG
rnacentral:rRNA from 1 species